AGAGUUUGAUCCUGGCUCAGAAUCAACGCUGGCGGCGUGCCUAACACAUGCAAGUCGAACGAGAAAGGGUAGCAAUACCUGAGUAAAGUGGCGCACGGGUGAGUAACACGUGACUAACCUACCCUGGAGUGGGGGAUAACUGAGGGAAACCUUAGCUAAUACCGCAUAAUACCCACGGGUCAAAGGAGCAAUUCGCUUCAGGAGGGGGUCGCGGCCGAUUAGUUAGUUGGCGGGGUAAUGGCCCACCAAGACAGUGAUCGGUAUCCGGCCUGAGAGGGCGCACGGACACACUGGAACUGAAACACGGUCCAGACUCCUACGGGAGGCAGCAGUGGGGAAUUUUGCGCAAUGGGGGAAACCCUGACGCAGCAACGCCGCGUGGAGGAUGAAGUACUUCGGUACGUAAACUCCUUUCGAUCGGGACGAUAAUGACGGUACCGGAAGAAGAAGCCCCGGCUAACUUCGUGCCAGCAGCCGCGGUAAUACGAGGGGGGCAAGCGUUGUUCGGAAUUAUUGGGCGUAAAGGGUGCGUAGGCGGUUUGGUAAGUCUGAUGUGAAAUCUAUGGGCUCAACUCAUAGACUGCAUCGGAAACUGCCGGGCUUGAGUAUGGGAGAGGUGAGUGGAAUUUCCGGUGUAGCGGUGAAAUGCGUAGAUAUCGGAAGGAACACCUGUGGCGAAAGCGGCUCACUGGACCAUAACUGACGCUGAUGCACGAAAGCUAGGGGAGCAAACAGGAUUAGAUACCCUAGUAGUCC
rnacentral:rRNA from 1 species